rnacentral:rRNA from 1 species
GACGGGAGGAUGCAAGUGUUAUCCGGAAUCACUGGGCGUAAAGCGUCUGUAGGUGGUCAAAUAAGUCAACUGUUAAAUCUUGAGGCUCAACCUCAAAAUCGCAGUCGAAACUAUUAGACUAGAGUAUAGUAGGGGUAAAGGGAAUUUCCAGUGGAGCGGUGAAACGCGAUAGAGAUUGGAAAGAACACCGAUGGCGAAGGCACUUUACUGGGCUAUUACUAACACUCAGAGACGAAAGCUAGGUAGCAAAUGGG